AUGGUAUCUCACGGUAGAAACCAUGGUCCCUCUCAUCAUUAUCCUCCAAUCUCUCCAGAUCUCUAUCAUAUGGCCAAAGGCGAGUCUUCACGAUGCUCUUCUCACGGAGCAACAUGCCAGAUCACACGGACCUCAUUCGUUCCCUUGCAUCUCGCCUUGACGCUUAUCAUGUGCCUGCACGAUCUCAGCCCUCAAAUCAUCAUCUAA